UCUAAGUAACAUUUUCAGACCUAGCAGCAAACCUAAGUUUCUAAGAGGAUAAUGAGAAAGCUCAGGAUCAGGCGGCUUCCGGAAGAAUCUGCCAGAUAYAAAGGCUGACUGCAAUAAAAGAGCUAAAUGAACAUUUUUACAUCAAUAAAUAUUUAAGGCACGAAGAAUCAAACAAUAAGCACGGGGAACAGUCUUUAUUAACGGACCUUUCUCCUUCAGAGAAUCCUUUUUUUGUUGGUGAAGGAAGCCGCUUUUUGAUUCU